GGAAUAUUGGACAAUGGGCGAAAGCCUGAUCCAGCCAUGCCGCGUGGAUGAAGAAGGCCCUAGGGUUGUAAAGUCCUUUCGAUGGUGAAGAUAAUGACGGUAACCAUAGAAGAAGCCCCGGCUAAUUUCGUGCCAGCAGCCGCGGUAAUACGAAAGGGGCUAGCGUUGUUCGGAAUUACUGGGCGUAAAGCGCACGUAGGCGGCUUGGUAAGUUAGAGGUGAAAUCCCGGGGCUCAACCCCGGAACUGCCUUUAAAACUACUUGGCUAGAGGAUGUGAGAGGAUAGUGGAAUUCCGAGUGUAGAGGUGAAAUUCGUAGAUAUUCGGAAGAACACCAGUGGCGAAGGCGACUGUCUGGCACAUUUCUGACGCUGAGGUGCGAAAGCGUGGGGAGCAA
rnacentral:rRNA from 1 species